UACGGAGGGGGCUAGCGUUGUUCGGAAUUACUGGGCGUAAAGCGCACGUAGGUGGCUUUGUAAGUUAGAGGUGAAAGCCCGGGGCUCAACUCCGGAAUUGCCUUUAAGACUGCAUCGCUGGAACGUCGGAGAGGUAAGUGGAAUUCCGAGUGUAGAGGUGAAAUUCGUAGAUAUUCGGAAGAACACCAGUGGCGAAGGCGACUUACUGGACGACUGUUGACACUGAGGUGCGAAAGCGUGGGGGAGCAAACAGG
rnacentral:rRNA from 1 species